ensembl:lncRNA
GUUUGACAAGUCCAGUCUGCUUCCCUCUACUUCUCUUCUGCCUCAUGCCUUUGGUUCUUUCUUUUCCCAUUCUAGGGGUGUGACCUGUUCUGUGGUCUCCUACAGUAUUGUUAUUGUAAAGGAUUUAUAGUGUUGGGUGUGACUGAAAGCAUAUCAGUUUUUCUCUGUAGGAAUGGGUCAAUGAACAAUUUGAUCCAACAGCCAUCCAACAGGCUGAAGCAGGAGUUGGGGAGCUCUUAGACCUUCACCUGUCAUUGAAGACCAAGGUCAUUCACUGCAUCCCAGGCCAAUAGCAGUGCUGACUUUUGUCCUGCUGCUGGACCUUGAUGACUCAGGAAGAGAAAGUGUGAUGGAUGAUUGCCACAGUCUGCUCACAAAUCCAAUUCAAAGUCAGAUCAAGACAUGACCUGUGAUGUCAUUGGUCCUUUUCAGAAAAUGAAGGAUGAACACCAGCUACAAGAAGAGAAGAAAGCAUCUUCUUGGCUGAUGCUUAUGCUUUAAGAGAGCAAAUGUUGCCAAAGAUGAACCUCUUCUUCUCUUUAAUAAUAACUGAAUGGGAUUAAAAUCUGCUCCACUCCUCCCCUCCACUCUUUCUACUCUGCUGCAAUGUUGAAUGUUCGAUUCAUUUGGAUUGUUUAAUGUUUGUGCUUCUAAAUUUUUUGCAUGGGGUUAAACUAUAACAGUAUGACAAUCAACCACUAAUGUUUAUUAAUUGAUUAAAUAUUUACUAAACUCUUCCAGGUGCCAGGCACUGGGCUAAGUGCUGGCAAUCCAAAAAAUAAGGAAAAGACAGUUUCUGUACUCAAGGAGCUUAUGAUCUAAUGAGGGAGAGAACAUGCAAAUAAAUGUCUACAAAGAAAGCAUUAUUCAGGAUAAAUAGGAAAUAAAUAAUGGAGGGAAAGUACUGGAAUUGAAGGGUGGAGGAAACCUUUUCCUGUACUGGCUUCCUAAGUAUUCCCAUUUUACAGAUAGUUAAAGUGUGGCUUGGCUUCCAAAUUGUAUACAAUAAUUCAGGAUUUCUUUGCCAAUGACCUAAGCUAUCCAGAACCUCAUCAGGAUGCUGUUAAGUCAAGUCUUUUGUUGUUGUUGUUCUUUAUUGAGUCUGUCUCUUUGUGAUUCUUUUGAAGUUUUCUUGGCAAAGAUACUGGAGUAAUUUGCCAUUUCCUGCUCCAGUUCAUUGUACAGGUGGGGAAACUGAGGCAAACAGGGUGAUGACUUGCCCAGGAUCACACAGCUAGUAAAAGCUUUGAAGGCCAGAUUUGAACUCAGGAAGAUUCCUUGCCAAAGUAUCUAGCCCCAGAUCUAUUUAGCUUCCCUGGACAAUUCCAGCCUUCUUUGUUUACCCUUUAGUUAAGUGCUUUAUCAUAGACAGUCUAUCUCUAGUAAUGGCCAAUUAGUACUUUAUUAUGUUGGUUGAUUAUGCUGAUAUAAAAUACUGUAUUGUUUCUUAAUCAUUUUAGGCGUGUCUACCUCCCUGAAACAUUGUAAAUUCCUCUCAGUCAGUGACCACACCUCUUAUUUUCUUCUCCUUCAGGAUAUCAAGGACAAGGCUAGACACAUUAUACGUG